AGGGCGGGGCCAAGACGAUGACUUGACAGUCAAACGUCCACGAGUGAUGGUGAAGCUAUGGAAACAACGGUAUCUGACAAAUUUGUUUAUUUCAACCCAUCUUACUGCUUAACAACAGAAUCACUGAGCAGCAGCACUUCAUUUGUCUAAGUGUAGCCACUUCUUUAAAAAAUUAAGAAAUCAAAAUAUAAAAAUAUUUCAUCAAUUAUAAAAAUAGAAAAUAUAAAAAUAUGCAAAAGGCGCUGUAGUUCUCCUCUUAAAAAACUCAAUUAUACAAAGCUGAAGGAAACCACUCCUACUGAUAACGGCUUUAGAAUCAGUAAUGCCAAAAAAUCAAGUAGGGAAACUCCAAAGAUACUUACUGUGGGUUCAACUAGAGAACUGAGAGAAAAAGGGAAGUUAUCACGUAAAUCAUUAACAGCCCUUCUAAAUUACCAAAAUUAAUUGCUAAAGAAGAAAACCAAGGUGAAGCUUGUGUUAGUUUUAUACUGAUACAUAUAUAUUUGUAGAAUUUCAAUGUACAUUUUAGAUGCAGUAAGAAAAAAACCAACCAGGCUUUGAGUUUCAAAUUCCCUUGCAAGAUAUCAGCCAACUUCAUAAUCUACCUUUUACUGUCAAUUUUUGAGACGAGAGACAACACGUCAAUAUGCUCUUUCAAGCCAAUGUGUAAACUUAGCAAAGAUUAAGUAAAACUCUAGUCAUUAAGCUGCAGUAAUCUAAGCCAAGUACUAGUAACUUUUUAACAGGAAAAUCUUUAAAAAUGUAUGACUUUCAUUGUACCUAACAAGUUUAACAUGUUAAUGAAUUUUGGUGACACAAAACAUAAUGCAGACCUAAUUUGUAAUCUUUUGUUAAUUUGCUCCAUUUUAUUUGACAGCAUCCAUUAUACUAAGUUUUCGAUGUGCCAUACUUCCAAAUAAACCCAGAAAAAAUAACAAUCUGUAAUUUACAUUUUUCAUUAAUUUAGACUUGGCCUAUUCUAAAUGGGGUAUUUUAUAGCAUUUACUCUUCAUAGUCUGACAUUUACUGUUCCAAGUCCUAUCUUUCCAAUACUCUCUUUAAAAUGUCUCAGCAGCACAUUCGAAAAGCUUAGGAACUUUGCCAUGAAAAAAAGGAAGUUUAAAUAUAUUCAUCUAGGAGUAGGCAGAAAAAGGGAAGAAUGUCUUUAACCUGGUUUGGACUCCACUGAGUACUCAACGAUGGGAGAUACACAUACAGAUAACAGGGGGGAUCACAUUGAAAAGAUGAAGUGUGUUUUUUUAAAUAAUUUGUGGGGAUUCUAUAUAUCCUGUAUCACAGACAUUAAAGAUUGAAAAUUCUAUCUAAAAUAGACAUUUUCUGGGAGUUGCUCCAUGGGAAUUCCAGAGGAAGACUGUAAUGUUUAUAUUUUUUGGAAUAUGUAUCCACAAGUAAUUGAAUUCAGCACGGAAACCAAAAUGUCUUUCAAGUCCUUAAAUUUUCCAACACCAUCUCAAGGUGAAAAGUGAUUUCUGGUCAUGUUUUCAUUCCUUUCCAAGUACAUCUUGCAAAGAACUCCUCUUUAAUAAGGCUUUACAUAAAAUUCUAUGUCAUGAACUGAUAUUUCCUGAUGAUGGCUUUAAAUUACUUAAACUUUACUUCCUUAUUAAAUAUUAAGAAGACAGACUCUUCUGAGAUAUAUGAGAGUCAGCUUCUGGACCUUUGUAGAAAAUUUAACAGCCAAUUAUUCUUUUUUUUGAGGAAGAUUAGCCCUGAACUAACAUCUGCUGCCAAUCCCUUUUUUUCCCCGAGGAAGGUUGGCCCUGAGCUAACAUCUGUGCUCAUCUUCCUCUACUUUGUAUGUGGGACGCCUGCCACAGCAUGGCUUGAUAAGUGGUGCAUAGGUCUGCACCCGGGAUCCGAACCAGCGAACCCCAGGCCGCCAAAGUGGAACAGGUGAACUUAACCACUGCACCACUGGGCCGGCCCCUAACAGCCAAAUUUUAUCUAACUUGAUGAGACCUAUGGUACUCAAGUUCACUUAGAAAGCAAGCAAAGGAGCUGUGAUCUAAAACUGCUUGGUAUCAACAGAUUAAUCAUCUAAAGCACUGCUUUAAUCUGUACUCCUCUACACAAAACCCUUCAAGGGUUUACCAGUGAAAACAUACUCAACUUCCUUAUCUUUCACUGGCAGCCCUUCACAAUCUCACUCGACCUUGACUCUCCAGGGUCACAGUGGGUCUGGACUGCCACUUCUCCCACCACGCUUGCCUCUUCUGACCCGUUUACGCUGUCCUCUUUUUUCACAACG
rnacentral:lncRNA from 1 species